GAAUUCACUAGUGAUUCAGGCCUAACACAUGCAAGUCGAGCGGUUGAGGUAGCUUGCUACCGAUGCAGCGAAAGACGGGUGAGUAAUACAUGGGAAUCUGCCUGGUAGUGGGGGACAACGUUUCGAAAGGAACGCUAAUACCGCAUACGCCCUACAGGGGAAAGGGGGGGAUCUUCGGACCUCUCGCUAUCAGAUGAGCCCACGUCGGAUUAGCUUGUUGGUGAGGUAAAGGCUCACCAAGGCGACGAUCCGUAACUGGUCUGAGAGGAUGAUCAGUCACACUGGAAUUGAGGGGCGGUCCAGACUCCUACGGGAGGCAGCAGUGGGGAAUAUUGGACAAUGGGCGCAAGCCUGAUCCAUUCAAAGGGGGUGUGUGAAGAAGGCCUUAGG
rnacentral:rRNA from 1 species